rnacentral:snRNA from 1 species
AUAAAAAUUCAAAUAAUUCGGG